rnacentral:rRNA from 1 species
UACGGGGGGCUGCAGUGGGGAAUAUUGCACAGUGGGCGGAAGCCUGAUGCAGCGACGCCGCGUGAGGGAUGACGGCCUUCGGGUUGUAAACCUCUUUCAGCAGGGACGAAGCGCAAGUGACGGUACCUGCAGAAGAAGCGCCGGCCAACUACGUGCCAGCAGCCGCGGUAAGACGUAGGGCGCGAGCGUUGUCCGGAUUUAUUGGGCGUAAAGAGCUCGUAGGCGGCUUGUCGCGUCGUCCGUGAAAACCUGCAGCUCAACUGCAGGCUUGCGGUCGAUACGGGCAGGCUAGAGUUCGGUAGGGGAGACUGGAAUUCCUGGUGUAGCGGUGAAAUGCGCAGAUAUCAGGAGGAACACCGGUGGCGAAGGCGGGUCUCUGGGCCGAUACUGACGCUGAGGAGCGAAAGCGUGGGGAGCGAACAGGAUUAGAUACCCCUGUAGUCAUCUUCUAGA